CAUGGCUCAGGACGAACGCUGGCGGCGUGCCUAAUACAUGCAAGUCGAGCGGACGAUUCAAAAGCUUGCUUUUGAAUCGUUAGCGGCGGACGGGUGAGUAACACGUGGGCAACCUGCCCUGUAGACGGGGAUAACACCGAGAAAUCGGUGCUAAUACCGGAUAACACGAAAGACCGCAUGGUUUUUCGUUGAAAGGCGGCGCAAGCUGUCGCUACAGGAUGGGCCCGCGGCGCAUUAGCUAGUUGGUGAGGUAACGGCUCACCAAGGCGACGAUGCGUAGCCGACCUGAGAGGGUGAUCGGCCACACUGGGACUGAGACACGGCCCAGACUCCUACGGGAGGCAGCAGUAGGGAAUCUUCCGCAAUGGACGAAAGUCUGACGGAGCAACGCCGCGUGAGCGAAGAAGGCCUUCGGGUCGUAAAGCUCUGUUGUUAGGGAAGAACAAGUACCGCAGUCACUGGUGGUACCUUGACGGUACCUAACGAGAAAGCCACGGCUAACUACGUGCCAGCAGCCGCGGUAAUACGUAGGUGGCAAGCGUUGUCCGGAAUUAUUGGGCGUAAAGCGCGCGCAGGCGGUUCCUUAAGUCUGAUGUGAAAGCCCACGGCUCAACCGUGGAGGGUCAUUGGAAACUGGGGGACUUGAGUGCAGAAGAGGAGAGCGGAAUUCCACGUGUAGCGGUGAAAUGCGUAGAGAUGUGGAGGAACACCAGUGGCGAAGGCGGCUCUCUGGUCUGUAACUGACGCUGAGGCGCGAAAGCGUGGGGAGCAAACAGGAUUAGAUACCCUGGUAGUCCACGCCGUAAACG
rnacentral:rRNA from 1 species